AAACCUGGUGUUCUUUUUCUCUCUCUUUUUGGUAAUCGGAAAUGGGGAAGCUUGAGGAUUCCGAUUUCGCUUCCCUUCUACCGAUGGUGAAAUUAUGUGUCUUCGGGAGAAAAAGAAGAUUGGUGACUCUGAUUUCUCUGUCCAAUCAAUCUAUCAAAUAUAAUUUGAUAGAUUGAAGCCCCUGCUUAUGCUCGGGCUUCUGCCAUGGUAGUUGCUUAAGGGUAGAUGGUUCUUAAUUCAAGUAGAACCUCAACUACUAUGAAAGUACCGAAUAUUAUUUUCGGUAGAACCUCAACUACUAUGAAAGUAUAUAAUUUUGUGUUCGAUAGAACCUCAACUACUAUAACAAUAUCAGAUUUUGUUUUGGCAGAACCUCAACUAUUAUGAAACUAUUAUGAAUAUGGCAGAUUUUAUUUUUUAUCUCUAGAGUUUAUCCCUUAUGUAACUUGUAUGUUAUUUUUCAUUGAAACUCAAUUAUUAUGAAAAUAUUAGAUUUGAUUUAGGUAGAAUUUCAACUACUAUAAAUGCAUCAGAUUUGAUCUAGGUAGAACCUCAACUACUAUUGAUGCACUAAAUUUGAUUUCAGGUGGAACUUCAAUUACUAUAGAUGCAACAUAUUUUAUCUCAGCAGAACCUCAACUAUUAUAGAGUUUUUGGAUUUUGUUUCAAUAAAACCUCAACCAGCAUGUAAAGUAGAAAUGCUUAUAAUCGGUAGAACCUCAACUACUAUUUGUGAAAUUUUAUUUCAACUUAGCCAUUUUGGCAGCUUAGCCCAUUAUGAUUCCUCAUAGGGGUUUUUCUCCUCCAAUUAUCAUUCAAGCUGACUCAAAUAAAAGUUAACUGUUUUAAACUCAAACCGAGCUUAGAUUGGUUGUUGUUUGGAGUUAGUUCACAGUGAUUGUAGUUUGCAAAAUUUUCCUUUCAACCAUGAGGAUGAGCCGGUUGGGAGAUCAGGAAGUCAAGUCGCCAAAACCUGCAGUGAAGUUUAAGUUGGAGAGAGCAGUGACGGAAGUGAACCCAUGAAGACAUGUGUAAAUGAAUAUCCUCCAUUAAAUAUCUGAGAGCAGAAACUGUAAUACCAAGUUCAUCACAAUAAAAUUCUGUAGAUAAAUAUUGUUAUUGUUGACAUUAAUUGUAAUAGUGUUUCAUUCA